rnacentral:lncRNA from 1 species
AUCUCCAACAUAAGAAGCUAAGAAGGCUGCAGCUUCCACCGGGCCUCUUGGGCUGCGUACUCUUGACACUCCUGCUCUGAGAACUAAGCAGGCAUAUUUCAUAUCAAAAUAGUAAAGAACUUCCUUUCCAAAGGCAGGACUUGCUUCUGUGAGGUACUGAGCCACCCGUCCCUGGAGGAAAGCAAGAAUAGAGCAGAUCAGAGCCCAGGAAGACAUCUUGGAUGAUGGGUGAGAUCUUCCUGGGGUUCUUGCUGUACCUGCUGACAAGGGGCAGCUCUCUCUAAAUGCCACGGAGCUGGAAGGCUGCAGCCUGGAACUUGCUGCAGCCCACCCAGGCAAGCAAGAGAUGACAUAGUUUCAGCACCUGUAUCUAUGGCACCCAGAAGCCAGAUCCAACCCCCCAGCCCUUAUCUUUGACCUUGAGCCAGUCUGAAUUGGUAACUGGAAGUCACUUAUCUACCAGAUUCAACUAUCAGGAUGUUACUAAUAAAAAAU